rnacentral:rRNA from 1 species
GAUGAACGCUAGCUACAGGCUUAACACAUGCAAGUCGAGGGGAAACGACAUUGAAGCUUGCUUCGAUGGUCGUCGACCGGCGCACGGGUGAGUAACGCGUAUCCAACCUGCCUCUGACCAAGGGAUAACCCGUCGAAAGUCGGCCUAAUACCUUAUGCAGUCGUCGGAAGUCAUCUGAUGACGACGAAAGAUUUCAUCGGUGAGAGAUGGGGAUGCGUCUGAUUAGCUUGUUGGCGGGGUAACGGCCCACCAAGGCAACGAUCAGUAGGGGUUCUGAGAGGAAGGUCCCCCACAUUGGAACUGAGACACGGUCCAAACUCCUACGGGAGGCAGCAGUGAGGAAUAUUAGUCAAUGGGCGAGAGCCUGAACCAGCCAAGUAGCGUGCAGGAUGACGGCCCUAUGGGUUGUAAACUGCUUUUAUGCGGGGAUAAAGUGAGGGACGUGUCCUUCAUUGCAGGUACCGCAUGAAUAAGGACCGGCUAAUUCCGUG